CCAUGAAGUUAUGGAAGGGGCUGGUGGGUUUAUAAUUGACUCUCUGAAUUUGCCUUAGCCCUCUGUUUGAACCCUACCAAAGGCAGGCUCUUCAUGCACUUCCUAAACCACAGACCCCAGCCCACUCAAGGACCUGUGCUUUACACCGUCCCAAGGACAAGGCUGCAUUUCCCAGAACAGAACGAAGUGUGGCCAUCUAUUAUCAGGGUGCCUGCUAUCACAGCAGGUCAGGCUGUUACUGCCUGCUCCUGAGGUGUGUGCACAAGGUGAGAAGAUUUAAUGGUCACUGGGGCCAGGAGGCCCUGGUGAAGGGAGAAGAAACUGGUGCUAAGAGUUGAUCCCCGUGAACAAGGAGGCAGCAGCUGGACCAUGAAGCCCUCAGGGUGGCAUCUGAGUCUCUCAGGAACCGGUCGGCGAAAAAGGCUCCAAUUGCGCUUCCUUUGAAAGUACCCCACGGGCCCUACAGCCACAAAUGCCUCUCGACUCCAGGACUGUUAGAGCCCAAUCCCUUCCAUCUUGACUGCCGGCUAAUGAGGGGCAGGCCUCUGGUGACGAGGAGGAACGCCAGUGUUUCCAGACUCGUGGAACAAAUGUGACAAUCGGAGCUGCUGCCUGUCCUCUUCUCCCGCUGACAGACACCAACGCACCGCAGUCAUUUGACAGAACAAAGCAGCUUGCACGCUCCCGGGCUCUGUCCGGAGUGUCUCUCUGCCCUACUCUGAACAGGAAAACAAUAGGAAGAUAAAAGCGUCCAAACGAUCCUCCCUGUAGUGAUAUCUUGUUUAUACUCUAACAAAUAAAGUCUCUGCUCAGCCAAGUCACUUCCUGUCUGUCUGUGCAGACCUCCAGACCUCUACAGUUAGCUAGUAACUAGCUCCACCCUCUGAUCUUCAGGCAAGCUUUACGUGUUAGAACAUUAACAAGAUAUCAUCACACC